CAACUACUCAUUCCGUCCAAUAAAAGAUGUCUCAAAUUUGUCAAAAUUUGGAUGUACUCUAGAUGUGAUUUAAUGUAUAGAUGCAUUCAAGUUUAGUCAAAAUUGAGACGUCCUUUGUUGGAUGGAGGAAGUAAUAU
rnacentral:pre_miRNA from 1 species